GUGAGUCCUCCAAGCAGGUUCUGGAAGGGAUGGGGAGCCAAAAUGGAGUCCUCCAAGCAAUGGCGCCACUCUGUACCCCCAUGGGGCUCAACUCUAUGGCUCUGGAGGACCUCCACAAGUAGACACCCCUACAAGUGAGUCCUCCAAGCAGGUCCUGGAAGGGAUGGGGAGCCAAAAUGGAGUCCUCCAAGCUAUGGCGCCAAUCUGUACCCCCAUGGGGCUCAACUCUAUGGUUCUGGAGGACCUCCACAAGCAGAUACCCCUAAAAUUGAGUCCUCCAAGCAGGUCCUGGAAGGGAUGGGGAGCCAAAAUGGAGUCCUCCAAGCAACGGCGCCACUCUGUACCCCCAUAGGGCUCAACUCUAUGG